AGCAGCCGCGGUAAUUCCAGCUCCAAUAGCGUAUAUUAAAGUUGUUGCAGUUAAAAAGCUCGUAGUUGAAUUUCGGGGUUAGCAGGUCGGUCGUGCCAAUGGUAUGCACUGGCCUUGCUGAUUCCUCCCUCUUGAUGAACCGUAAUGCCAUUAAUUUGGUGUUGCGGGGAAUCAGGACUAGUUACUUUGAAAAAUUAGAGUGUUUAAAGCAGGCAAGCGCUUGAAUACAUUAGCAUGGAAUAAUGAAAUAGGACGUUUGAUCCUAUUUUGUUGGUUUCUAGGAUUGACGUAAUGAUUAAUAGGGAUAGUUGGGGGCAUUAGUAUUCAAUUGUCAGAGGUGAAAUUCUUGGAUUUAUUGAAGACUAACUACUGCGAAAGCAUUUGCCAAGGAUGUUUUCAUUAAUCAAGAACGAAAGUUAGGGGGAUCGAAGACGAUCAGAUACCGUCGUAGUCUUAACCAUAAACUAUGCCGACUAGGGAUCGGAUGAUGUAAUUUUUAAUGACUCAUUC
rnacentral:rRNA from 1 species